rnacentral:lncRNA from 1 species
GGUUCCUGGAACUCUGUGGACUGGAGGUGGAGGUGGGGUGGGGGGCAGGUUGUUCACUCUGGAAAUUCUUUUUGUGGAAGUGUGGGGUUAGAGCUUUAGUUCCCAGCAGCAGCUCUGGAGUCUAAGCCCCUCAGAACAAGCCCUGUUGGUCUUUGACUCUAAAAAGACUUCAAGAGCUGACCAGAUGGGCCAGAUGUGGGUUAACAUUAGAGACAGCUACAGGGGGUAGAGCCCUCUCUAGACAGAUUUGGGGCAAGUGGGCAUGGUUUGCCCAGACUCAGUGAGCUAGGUGGUUCUCUUACUUAAAGAGAACAGAGGAGAGCAGCUCCUGUUGUCAGGGAAUUGCCACCACACACAGGACAGAAAACAUAAAUACCCACUAGGCUUGGUUUCCAGCCCCAAACUUACUUCUCACACAUUCAGUUCCCCCUACUACCUUCAUUUGCAAAUGUAAACAGAAACUGGGCCAGGCUGCAGGUUCAGAGGGGACUCCCUGGGCCUGAGGUAGUUGAAGAGCUCUUGGUCUUCUACCCUAUCUUUCUGCUCCUUGAGCUAUCUAGUGGAUGAGUUAGCUGCUGAGCUGGACAAAGAUUUGGAAUGAGUUCUGGAUCCAGUGAGGUCUGAAGUCUUCCUCAGGAAGUCAACAGCCACAGAGGGAGUGUUAACAGUUAGUGCUGGGAACAGGAGACCCACAGACACCUGGGAAAAGCUUCUAGAGGUGAGGGCAGUCUGUCUAGUGCUGCUCCUUUGAGGUUCAGGAUACCCCAAGCCUUGUCUGUACCCCUUGGCUUUCUUUGUCUGGGCAGUUACUGCUUCAGGGAUAACCCUCAACAGGGCCCAGGUGGCCUGCCCCACUCCUGGGACAAUGUGUUAUUUCUGCUGUAGCAGAAGCCUACUUUGGGAAGAGCACUUCCGUUUCCAGCCUUUUCCUAUACCAGAAAUGCGUUUCCAGGUAUUACCCUGGCACCUCAUCCUUGUCCAGCCUAAGAAAGACAAUUGUGGUUUAUUCCCUGGGCACACUGGAGGACAGAAAAGACAGGAAAAUUAGUUAUGGCCCACUUCUGGAUGACUUCAGCAGAGGUGGAGGCAGCUUUGUGAGAGACUAGAAACAAUAGUCAGAGAGAACGUUGCUCCUGAGACCUCCACUGUAUCCCUGAAGAACCCCCAGUGCAUCCUCUGAUACCUCCACUACAGCCCCCUGAGAUUUCCACUCCAUCUCCCUGAGGCUCUUACUGCAUCUCCUGAGAUUCCCACUGCAGCCUCCAAGGCGCUCCACUGAAUCCCCUGAGUCCUCCUGCCUAUUGCAUCCCUUGGCCCUCCCACUGCAUCUCCUGAGGUCCCCAAUAUAUCCCCCUGAGACUUCCACUGAAACCCCUGAGGCCCUCCACUACAGCCCCUAAGGGCCUCUACUGCAGCCCCUCAGACCCCUACAGCAUGAUAUGGUAAACUAAGACCCUUGUUCCUAGCCCUGGCUUGAGGAAUUCAAAGGCCAGAGGGAGGUAGUGUUUGGCCUAU